UUUACAAUAAAAAGUCGGUCCUGCCCGGUGAUGCUAUAUUAAACGGUCGCAACGAGAGUUGUGUUAAAGUAGCGCGAUAAUUUGUCUUUUAAUUGGAGAAUGGUAUGAAUGGUCUGACGAGGGUUAGUUGUCUCUAAGAAAAAUUUGUGAAAUUUCCAUUUAAAUGAAAAGGUUUAAAUAUUUAUAAAAGACGAGAAGACCCUGUCGAGCUUUAUUAAUUUAAUUAUUUUUUAGUACAUAAGUAAAUUAAAAGAAAAGUAAUUAAAUGAAUGUUAGUUGGGGAGGGUUGAGCCUAAAAUAGUAGGCUAGCAGAGACAGAGAUCCCUUUUGAAGGAUAGCCGGCAAAAGUUACCGCAGGGAUAACAGCGUAAUCUCCCCUGAGAGUUCGUAUUGAGGGGGAGGUUUGCGACCUCGAUGUUGGAUUAGGGACACUGCUUGGUGCAGCAGCUAAGCAAAGUGAGACUGUUCGUCUUUUAAAACCCUACAUGAUCUGAGUUCAGACCGGA
rnacentral:rRNA from 1 species